rnacentral:rRNA from 1 species
UACGUAGGGGGCAAGCGUUGUCCGGAUUUAUUGGGCGUAAAGAGCGUGUAGGCGGCCAGAUAGGUCCGUUGUGAAAACUCGAGGCUCAACCUCGAGACGCCGAUGGAAACCAUCUGGCUAGAGUCCGGAAGAGGAGAGUGGAAUUCCUGGUGUAGCGGUGAAAUGCGCAGAUAUCGGGAGGAACACCGGUGGCGAAGGCGGUUCUCUGGGCCUUACCUGACGCUGAGGCGCGAAAGCGUGGGGAGCGAACCGG